UUGAGCGAUCAGUGUGAGAGUCCAGAUGAAGAAGGUGAUUUUGUUCAUUGUUGUUCUUUUGUCUUGUGUGAUGAUGAAGAUUGUGUUCUGUUCUGCUCUCAGUCAUGAAGUGUUAAACUCACAGCACUAUAAACACUCUCAGAGCACUGAAGCAUGUGUGACAAUGCAAGGAAGUGGGCAGGACUUAUAACAGACCAACUAAUUUACACUAGAGUUACAGAAUGAUGAUUUACAUUCUCACUAAUGUUAUUUUUAGUUAUUUUGCUAGUUUAUUUUUAUUCUGACUACUGAGACACUGAGGAUGUGCAGAUGAACGUCCAUCUCUGUGUCCAUAUUCAGUCAUGUGACCAUCAUCACUGCUACACUUCCACUAGAUGAACCUCCAUCACUAAAUUUGUGUUCACUCGAGUGGAAUAGAGGUUUUUGUACGACCGUUUCAUUAGAUUGUAUCACUGUGGUGGACUUUCGGUGGAGGAACUAAACUGGUGCUCGCUGGUCCCACAGUGAAGCCCUCAGUGUCUCUGCUGCCGCCCUCUUCUCUGCAGAUCUCUGGAGACUCAGCCGCACUGCUCUGCCUGCUCAGCUCUUA